rnacentral:rRNA from 1 species
UGUGUACAAGGGGUGAAGCCUGCGGUUUAAUUGGAGUCAACGCCGGGAACCUUACCCAGGGAGACAGCAGGAUGAAGGUCAGGCUAAAGACCUUACCAGACGAGCUGAGAGGAGGUGCAUGGCCGUCGCCAGCUCGUGCCGUGAGGCGUCCUGUUAAGUCAGGCAACGAGCGAGACCCCUGCCGCUAGUUGCUACCUCUAUCCGAAAGGAUCGAGGGGCUAAUUAGCGGGACUGCCGCCGCUAAGGCGGAGGAAGGAAGGGGCCACGGCAGGUCAGUAUGCCCCGAAACCCUGGGGCCACACGCGGGCUGCAAUGGUAGGGACAAUGGGUUCCGACCCCGAAAGGGCGAGGCAAUCCCUAAACCCUACCCCAGUUGUGACUGAGGGCUGCAACCCGCCCUCAUGAACCCGGAAUCCCUAGUAAUCGCGCGUCACCAACGCGCGGUGAAUACGUCCCUGCCCCUUGUACACACA